rnacentral:rRNA from 1 species
UACGUAGGGUGCGAGCGUUAAUCGGAAUUACUGGGCGUAAAGCGUGCGCAGGCGGCGCGUUAAGUCAGGUGUGAAAGCCCCGAGCUUAACUUGGGAAUUGCGCUUGUGACUGGCGUGCUGGAGUGUGGCAGAGGGAGGUGGAAUUCCACGUGUAGCAGUGAAAUGCGUAGAGAUGUGGAGGAACACCGAUGGCGAAGGCAGCCUCCUGGGCCAACACUGACGCUCAUGCACGAAAGCGUGGGGAGCAAACAGG